UGGGGAAUAUUGCACAAUGGGCGCAAGCCUGAUGCAGCCAUGCCGCGUGUAUGAAGAAGGCCUUCGGGUUGUAAAGUACUUUCAGCGGGGAGGAAGGGAGUAAAGUUAAUACCUUUGCUCAUUGACGUUACCCGCAGAAGAAGCACCGGCUAACUCCGUGCCAGCAGCCGCGGUAAUACGGAGGGUGCAAGCGUUAAUAGGAAUUACUGGGCGUAAAGCGCACGCAGGCGGUUUGUUAAGUCAGAUGUGAAAUCCCCGGGCUCAACCUGGGAACUGCAUCUGAUACUGGCAAGCUUGAGUUUCGUAGAGGUGGGUAGAAUUCCAGGUGUGGCAGUGAAAUGCGUAGAGAUCUGGAGGAAUACCGGUGGCGAAGGCGGCCCCCUGGACGAAGACUGACGCUCAGGUGCGAAAGCGUGGGGAGCAAACAGG
rnacentral:rRNA from 1 species